CUUUGGAACAAGUGAUCAGAUUCCUAUUUCUCUUUCCCUGUAGUUUGGCUUUUCUUGUGAGGGGCCUGGAUUUGCAAUGGACAUAUUUGACAUCUGAAAGGAAACUCUGGUUUGACCUUCAUUGGCAGAGAUUCCUUGAAAUAAGGAUAGUAUCUUUCUCAAAAUGUGUACUGGAGACAGCAUUGGGAAGAAUUUAACUUCAACCUGUCAAGAUACCUUCUUUGAACUGCUUUCAGAGAAUGCUGAUACCACAAUAAUCAAUAAGAGCCAGCUACGAACAAUGUAUCCUAAUUUGGGUUUAAAAUAAA